UACGUAGGGGGCUAGCGUUGUUCGGAAUCACUGGGCGUAAAGCGCACGUAGGCGGAUGUGUCAGUCAGGGGUGAAAUCCCGGGGCUCAACCUCGGAACUGCCUUUGAUACAGCACGUCUCGAGUCCGGAAGAGGUGGGUGGAAUUCCUAGUGUAGAGGUGAAAUUCGUAGAUAUUAGGAAGAACACCGGUGGCGAAGGCGGCCCACUGGUCCGGUACUGACGCUGAGGUGCGAAAGCGUGGGGAGGCAAACAGG
rnacentral:rRNA from 1 species